rnacentral:rRNA from 1 species
GAUGAACGCUGGCGGCGUGCCUAAUACAUGCAAGUCGAGCGAACGGACGAGAAGCUUGCUUUUCUGAUGUUAGCGGCGGACGGGUGAGUAACACGUGGAUAACCUACCUAUAAGACUGGGAUAACUUCGGGAAACCGGAGCUAAUACCGGAUAAUAUUUUGAACCGCAUGGUUCAAAAGUGAAAGACGGUCUUGCUGUCACUUAUAGAUGGAUCCGCGCUGCAUUAGCUAGUUGGUAAGGUAACGGCUUACCAAGGCAACGAUGCAUAGCCGACCUGAGAGGGUGAUCGGCCACACUGGAACUGAGACACGGUCCAGACUCCUACGGGAGGCAGCAGUAGGGAAUCUUCCGCAAUGGGCGAAAGCCUGACGGAGCAACGCCGCGUGAGUGGUGAAGGUCUUCGGAUCGUAAAACUCUGUUAUUAGGGAAGAACAUAUGUGUAAGUAACUGUGCACAUCUUGACGGUACCUAAUCAGAAAGCCACGGCUAACUACGUGCCAGCAGCCGCGGUAAUACGUAGGUGGCAAGCGUUAUCCGGAAUUAUUGGGCGUAAAGCGCGCGUAGGCGGUUUUUUAAGUCUGAUGUGAAAGCCCACGGCUCAACCGUGGAGGGUCAUUGGAAACUGGAAAACUUGAGUGCAGAAGAGGAAAGUGGAAUUCCAUGUGUAGCGGUGAAAUGCGCAGAGAUAUGGAGGAACACCAGUGGCGAAGGCGACUUUCUGGUCUGUAACUGACGCUGAUGUGCGAAAGCGUGGGGAUCAAACAGGAUUAGAUACCCUGGUAGUCCACGCCGUAAACGAUGAGUGCUAAGUGUUAGGGGGUUUCCGCCCCUUAGUGCUGCAGCUAACGCAUUAAGCACUCCGCCUGGGGAGUACGACCGCAAGGUUGAAACUCAAAGGAAUUGACGGGGACCCGCACAAGCGGUGGAGCAUGUGGUUUAAUUCGAAGCAACGCGAAGAACCUUACCAAAUCUUGACAUCCUUUGACAACUCUAGAGAUAGAGCCUUCCCCUUCGGGGGACAAAGUGACAGGUGGUGCAUGGUUGUCGUCAGCUCGUGUCGUGAGAUGUUGGGUUAAGUCCCGCAACGAGCGCAACCCUUAAGCUUAGUUGCCAUCAUUAAGUUGGGCACUCUAAGUUGACUGCCGGUGACAAACCGGAGGAAGGUGGGGAUGACGUCAAAUCAUCAUGCCCCUUAUGAUUUGGGCUACACACGUGCUACAAUGGACAAUACAAAGGGCAGCGAAACCGCGAGGUCAAGCAAAUCCCAUAAAGUUGUUCUCAGUUCGGAUUGUAGUCUGCAACUCGACUACAUGAAGCUGGAAUCGCUAGUAAUCGUAGAUCAGCAUGCUACGGUGAAUACGUUCCCGGGUCU